UACAGAGGUGGCAAGCGUUGUUCGGAAUUACUGGGCGUAAAGGGCGCGUAGGCGGCCAUCUAAGUCAGACGUGAAAUCCCCCGGCUUAACCUGGGAACUGCGUCUGAUACUGGACGGCUUGAGUAUGGGAGAGGGAUGAAGAAUUCCAGGUGUAGCGGUGAAAUGCGUAGAUAUCUGGAGGAAUACCGGUGGCGAAGGCGGCAUCCUGGACCAUUACUGACGCUGAGGCGCGAAAGCGUGGGGAGCAAACAGG
rnacentral:rRNA from 1 species